rnacentral:tRNA from 1 species
GGGGUUGUGGCUUGGGGGUAGAGCUCUCGCCUAGCAUGUGUGAGGCACUGGGUUCCAUCCUCAGCACCACA